GUCACAUCAUUCCAUUCGAUGGUGGCAAUUUCAUUGUUCCUCAUCCCAGCAAAGGCAUAGAUGAGGGUGAAAAGGUCUGCUACAAGAGUGAGGUACUAUGUUCAUCAUGUACACCUGCAGACAAGGCUAUGGCACAACUGGCCGAUCCAGCAAGGGAUUGACAGAAUCAGCAGUAUCGCUUCCACCCUGACAGACCCUGAAGACCAGAGGAGAUAGCUGUCCUUUGCCACUUCCACCAAACAUGUCAAUUUAUCAUCAAGUGCCCUGCAAGUAGUAUUUAUCCCUCUCUGAAAGAGGGGCUAUAAUUUAGGUUUUGUCAGUAAGGGCCAAGAGAAGAGAGAGGGGUUAUCAGUGGUAAAGGUUCAUAUUUAACCAUGUAUUAAAGAAUCCACCAUGGCAGAAAGUAGAAGUAUAAAGUGGAGGUGUAUUAACUGCAUGGUAGAAGCAAGAGGAACUCCAACCCCUGCUAUAAUGUGGCUUUUCUUUUAACGUUUUCCUUCUCUAAGGAAACUGAAGAGUACAUUGGAAUGUGGUAUGGCAAUAAAGACAAUA